rnacentral:rRNA from 1 species
UGGGGAAUAUUGGACAAUGGGGGCAACCCUGAUCCAGCCAUGCCGCGUGAGUGAAGAAGGCCCUAGGGUUGUAAAACUCUUUCGGCGGGGAAGAUGAUGACGGUACCCGCAGAAGAAGCCCCGGCUAACUCCGUGCCAGCAGCCGCGGUAAUACGGAGGGGGCUAGCGUUGUUCGGAAUCACUGGGCGUAAAGCGCGCGUAGGCGGUCCGCGUAGUCAGGCGUGAAAGCCCCGGGCUCAACCUGGGAACUGCGUUUGAUACUGGCGGGCUAGAGUACGGGAGAGGGUAGUGGAAUUCCCAGUGUAGAGGUGAAAUUCGUAGAUAUUGGGAAGAACACCAGUGGCGAAGGCGGCUACCUGGACCGUUACUGACGCUGAGGUGCGAAAGCGUGGGGAGCAAACAGG